CUUAACCGAAUCAAACAGACUCAGAUGAUGAAAAAAAAAGGCCUAUCCUCCACAAGUGGACUUAGGGGAGACAAGAGCGAUGUAAACGAUAAACCCUGAUUAGAAAUUUUUUAUACAAAGAAGAAGAGAAGAUGAAGAGAUACACUACUCUGAAACGAACGUCGUCGUUUCAAAUUUGUAAGUAUAUAUAUGCUGAAACAACGUUUUGGUUUUCCUUGACUAAAAAUAAUUUAGUAGAGAACUUAAAAGUGGGACAUUCGUGGCAGAAACCUAUUAAACCGGACCGACAAUUUCGGUUUUCCGUUUCCAAUCAGUGAGAGUUUGUAAACCGAUCGGCGAAUUAUAUAUAUAAUCAUCUGUUCUCUUUACACGCCCGUGUAAUCAAAUCAAAUCAAACAAACCAUAUACGACAACUUUUCUUUCAGUUUCUUGUUUGGUCUUUUCUCUUCUUCUUCUUUAGGUUUCUUCUCUUCUUCUUUACGUUUCUUGUUUGGAUCGCCGCCAUUAGAGUUGCCGGAAGUUUCAGAGAUUACAACCAUUGUGACGUUUGUUUGAAGUCAGUCAGCACAACGAAUUGAUUCAAAGCGAGUUCCAGUUGUUAUCCAACAAAUAAAAUGAUCCCUAAACCAUGAUUUCAUAUUUGCUAGAACCACCACUGGGAUCUGUUAUGUUUGUUUGUGAUCACUUGCAGAGGAGGAUAAUUAAUCCAAAAGCCAAGAAACAGUUGCCAAACCAAACCAAGCCUCUUUUAUGGCUUAAGAGUUCUAUAGAAUACUAAAUAUGUAAGAGUAUUGGUACCUUACAUAUCACAUUGUGCAAAAUGGUUACUCUUGAGGCUUAAAAAGUUAACAACGGCAUCCAAGUCAGAAAUCAAGAUGAUUAUGCAGAAUGAUAUCAUAUUGCAGGCAUCAUAUCUAGUUAUGCAAAACUUAAAACUACAUGAGGAGUUUAGCAUUUUAAAUAUGUAGUCGUCAAGAAAAAAAAACAAGACCACAACGGAAAGCAUAUAAAGAAAACUAUGUAGAGCAUCUUAGAACUAAGCGCUAAGAGCUUGGUCACAUAACACGUUCAUGCUAGGAAAUGCCUUUCCUAUGUUUAUUUUAUAAAGUAGCAAUUUGGUUCCUCCUUGUUUUCCAUUUGUGAGUCUUUGUACAGAAAUUCAAGGAACGUGUGGCUUUCAAAAAGUUAUAUCUCAA